AUUUAGAAGAGUUAAGAGAUAAUAAAUUUUAUUGUAAAAUAAAUAUUUAUAAUUAUUUUUUAGUAAUGAAACGUUAGUCGUUUCUAAUUAUAUCUGGUUUUCUAAGAAAUUAAUUUAAUUAAUUAUUCAUAUAAUAAAUUUAAUAUUUAGCUAUUAAGUUUUUUAUGAGUAAAAAUCUUUCAAGGGAUAAGCUUUGAAAGAUAUUAAUAUAAGAUAGAAAGUUUUACAAAUUUUAUAUGAUUAUAAGUUUUAACUAUUAAGAGUGUGUUAUAACUAAAUUUGUAUUGAUUAUAUUUAUAUUAUUUUUAUGUAAUUUAUUUGAAUUUUAAUUUUAAUAAGUUAUUUUAUGUAAUAAUGAUUGAAUUAGUAUAUGUAAUUGUAUAUCUAAUAAAAGAUGUUAGAUGAUGUAAAGGAAUUCGGCAAAUAAAUUUCCGCCUGUUUAUUAAAAACAUGUCUUUUUGAUGAUGAUUUAAGGUUUAACCUGCCCACUGAAUAUUGAAUGGCCGCGGUAAUUUGACCGUGCGAAGGUAGCAUAAUAAUUAGUUUCUUGAUUGGGAACUGGAAUGAAUGGUUGGACGAGAAAUUUUCUGUCUCUGUAUUAUUAUUAGAAUUUUAUAUUUAAGUAAAAAAGCUUAGAUUUAUUUAAAAGACGAGAAGACCCUAUAGAGUUUGAUAUUUAAUUAAUUUUUAAUAUGUGGGAUUAUUAGUUUAAUUUUAAUACUAUAUUUUGUUGGGGUGAUAGAAAAAUUUAAUUAACUUUUUUUUUUUGUUAUCAUUAAUUUAUGAAUCAUUGAUCCGUUGUUUACGAUUAAAAGAUUAAAUUACCUUAGGGAUAACAGCGUAAUCUUUUUUGAGAGUUCAUAUCGAAAGAGUGGAUUGCGACCUCGAUGUUGGAUUAAAAUUAAUUAUUGGUGUAGAGGCUAAUAAAUUAGGUCUGUUCGACCUUUAAAAUUUUACAUGAUCUGAGUUCAAACCGG
rnacentral:rRNA from 1 species